UAAUAUAAUUGUGAAUUUACAGAGCUUAUAGGUGUAAAAGACCUAUAAACCAGCAACAACACAAUUCAUAAUUCAACGUCAUGUGCAGCAAAAGAAAUGCUGCUCAACCAGUUUACCUCAAGUAGAUCAGAUAAAAAAAACAAAGACAAACAAACAUUGAGGAUUGGUAGCCACGUUCAUGAACCAUUGUUCUCCUAAUUACUGACUAAUUUCCAUCAUACGUGCACCUGAUGUCAUAGUACCUGCUCUGGCUGGAUAUAAAGCUUCUGCUUUAGACCACUAAACAUUACCAGUCAACCAGCAAAGAGAAAGGAUCAGAGAGCAUCACAAAAUCACAAAGGGAACUCCUUGGACAAAGCCUGAAAAAAAUAUCCAGGAGAGAAUGAUGAUGAAGAAUUUAUUGGUGCUGUUUCUUGUUGCUGGCAUAGCCACAACAAUGACGACUGCUGCUCCAACAACUGCUGUGCCAACCACCACCACUACUGCUUCAACAAUAACCAGUGCUGUUCCAAC